GAUGAACGCUAGCGGCAGGCCUAAUACAUGCAAGUCGAACGCGGGGUAGCAAUACCUCGAGUGGCGCACGGGUGCGUAACGCGUAACCAACCUGCCCUUGACUGGGGGAUAGCCCGCCGAAAGGCGGAUUAAUACCGCAUAAACCAGCAGCCUGGCAUCAGGCAACUGGUAAAGAUUUAUUGGUCAAGGAUGGGGUUGCGUGACAUUAGCUAGUUGGCGGGGUAACGGCCCACCAAGGCGACGAUGUCUAGGGGACCUGAGAGGGUGAUCCCCCACACUGGCACAGAGAGACGGGCCAGACUCCUACGGGAGGCAGCAGUAGGGAAUAUUGGGCAAUGGGCGAGAGCCUGACCCAGCCAUGCCGCGUGCCGGAUGAAGGCCUUCUGGGUUGUAAACGGCUUUUCUCAGGGAAGAAAACGACCAUGCGUGGUACACUGACGGUACCUGAGGAAUAAGCACCGGCUAACUCCGUGCCAGCCGCCGCCGUAAAAC
rnacentral:rRNA from 1 species